rnacentral:rRNA from 1 species
AUCUAUGGCCAUACCACUCUGAAUGUGCCCGAUCUCAUCUGAUCUCAGAAGCUAAGGAGGGUUGGGCUUGGUUAGUACUCUGAUGAGAGGGAAAAAAGGGGUGAGUAAAUA